GCUUGUCUCAAAGAUUAAGCCAUGCAUGUCUUAGUGUAAAUAACUCUUAUGAAACUGCGAAUGGCUCAUUAAAUCAGUUAUCAAAUACGUGAUGGUCGCCUACUACAUGGAUAACCGUAGUAAUUCUAGAGCUAAUACAUGCAUAAAACCCUAACUUCUGGAAAGGGUGUAUUUAUUAGAUGGAAACCAAUGCGGGGUAACCCGGAAUAUGGUGAUUCAUAAUAACUUUCGGAUCGAUUUAUCGAUGCAUCAUUCAAGUUUCUGCCCUAUCAGCUUUGGAUGGUAGGGUAUUGGCCUACCAUGGUGGUAACGGGUGACGGAGGAUUAGGGUUCGAUUCCGGAGAGGGAGCCUGAGAAACGGCUACCACAUCCAAGGAAGGCAGCAGG
rnacentral:rRNA from 1 species